rnacentral:rRNA from 1 species
CGAAAGCCUGACGGAGCAAUACCGCGUGAGGGAGGAAGGCUCUUGGGUCGUAAACCUCUUUUCUCAGGGAAGAACACAAUGACGGUACCUGAGGAAUAAGCAUCGGCUAACUCCGUGCCAGCAGCCGCGGUAAUACGGAGGAUGCAAGCGUUAUCCGGAAUGAUUGGGCGUAAAGCGUCCGCAGGUGGCUAUGUAAGUCUGCUGUUAAAGAGUCUAGCUCAACUAGAUAAAAGCAGUGGAAACUACAAGGCUAGAGUGCGUUCGGGGCAGAGGGAAUUCCUGGUGUAGCGGUGAAAUGCGUAGAGAUCAGGAAGAACACCGGUGGCGAAGGCGCUCUGCUAGGCCGCAACUGACACUGAGGGACGAAAGCUAG